rnacentral:sRNA from 2 species
CGUUAAACAACGAGUCAGGUAGCUGUGCCGGAUUCAUGUUUACAUGAAAUCCGGUGCAGAUAUUUGACGAGUGUACCGACAUGAGCAAGUAGACCGAUAGGUCGGAUUGCGAAUGCCGGUCAGAUUGUUAGAGUGCGUAGCACGAAGCAAUCUGAGUUUAACG